CUCAUCCCUCGCACCACCGUUGUCUCCAUCGCUCCCUCCACCACCACCAUAAUUUCUAUCACCGCACCACAACCAACACCACCACUUCUGUCACGUUCGCUACUAAUAUCAGCAGAUCUAUCAUGAUUUGUGUUUCAUUUCAAUUGAUUUCUAAACAAGAUUCAUAUAUUGAUUUAUUUCUUUAGGUUUCGUUUUCGAGUUGUCGAUUCAGAGUUGUUCUUUUUUAUAUUUUCGAUUUGAACUAAUUCAUAAACCAGAUUCAGAGAUCGAUUCGAGAUGCAGAUUCAGAUUUCAAAGAGAUCGAUUUGAAAUUGAUAGAAGAGAUCAAUAUUUUGGUGAUGUUUCUGGUUGAAUCUCAUGAUUCUUAGAAAAUGGGUGUUGUUGUUGAAGCUGUAUUGGUGAUGCUGGCGGCGGUGGUGGAGGAUAUAUAGCAAAUUUCUAUUGGUUAAUUCACUCAACGGGUUUUUUAGGUGUUGUUGGUGGUGGAUGUUGCGGCACCGGUGGUGGAUGUUUGUUGCACUUGACUAUAUGUCACACCAAAUAAGGUACAAAUGGUGAUCAGUGACUGAGAUUGUGAACUGAAUGGUGAUCAGUGACUGAGAUUGUGGACUGAAUGGUAUUGGUGUUUCUAUCAAAGAAGGUGAUGGAGAGGACAGCUAGUUCGGGCAUGAAGGUAGCCUGUUUGGUUGCUGCAUCAGUGUCUGCUCUAGUAAUACCUUCUGACAUCUUCGAAAGCAAACUCAUUUUGUAUGUUUUCACUAGUCUCGGCCUUUUGUUUGAAGCUGCAUGAUUCUAGUGAUGGUGGUUGCAGAGAAGGAUUGAACCUGUUGCAGAAGCUACAAGCAGACUUGAAGUAGUUUAUACUGUGGAAAGACACGCAGAGAUGGAUUUGGUUUAGCAGUUAUGCUUGAAGAUAUACUGGCACUGUUGCAGUUGGAGAUGACACUAGAACUGAAUACGCAUCCAGUUAGUGAAGAGAAGAACAAGGAGUUAUUACUGCUUGUGUGUUGUUGAUGGUGUUUGAGUAAGGCCAUGGAAGUGACUGAAGUUGUUGGCUCAUGUUGCAAGUGUACAUAGAUGGUUGUGGUCAUGGAGUUGUUGCUGUAGCAGAGAUGGAGGAUGUGAUACUGUCUGGUGGUGGUUCGAAUUGUUGGUUGUGCACUGAAAAGAGAUAUGAAGUGGCAGGUGCCGGUAUAUGAUUUUGAUAUGUUACUUUGUAUUGAUGAAUCUGUGGUGCAAUGGUAGCACAACUGACUAUAUGUCGGAAGAUGUGUGUUCGACUCACACUAGGUUCACUUUUUUGUGUACAAUUUUUAUUUUUUGGAGACAACUUGUGAUAGUUUCCUCCAUAUAUGAAGACAACUUGUGCUAGUUGCCUCCAUAUUUGGAGACAACUUGGGCUAGUUGCUUCCAUUUUU